AUUUGAAAAAGGAAAUUAAAAAAAAAAACUAUGGAAGCAAAGAUAGGCAAAUUCUUCGAGUCCGUCAGCAACUUCUUCACCGGCGCCGAUCAGAUCCCGUGGUGCGACCGCGACAUCGUCGCUGGAUGUGAGCAAGAGGUUAUUGAAGCUGAAAAAGGUUCCUCUGAUGAGUUUAAGAAUGAAUGCAUCAUGCGUCUGUCGUGGGCUCUUGUGCAUUCAAGACAACCAGAAGAUGUACAUCGUGGCAUGGCAAUGCUGGAAUCUUCUAUAGGCGACACUACCAGCCCUCAGAAAUUAAGAGAGAAACUUUAUCUUCUUGCUGUUGGGUAUUACAGAAGUGGUGACUAUUCAAAAAGCAGGGAGCUGGUGGAGGAAUGUUUGAAGAUUGAACCUGACUGGAGACAGGCGCAGUCCCUUAGGAAAGCAAUUGAAGACCAGAUAAAAAAAGAUGGCAUAAUUGGCAUAGGCAUUGCUGCUACAGCUGUGGGACUGGUUGCUGGUGGGAUUGCUGCAGCUUUGGCACGAAGGAACUGACUCCACCUUUGAUAUCUGCUGAUAUGUAAGAGAAAUCCACUAAAUGGCAUGCUUGAUUUUGAUGCAGAAACUUGAAAAAA
rnacentral:misc_RNA from 1 species